rnacentral:rRNA from 1 species
AUGGAGAACGGACGCAUGUCAGACCGGAUCAGGUCGCCCUCUUCUCCUCCCAGCGGCAGCGAGACGGCGGCCGAGAGACUCACCGACGACCUCCUCGUCGAGAUCCUCUCGCGCGUGCCCGCCAGGUCGCUCUGCCGCUUCAAGUGCGUCUCCAAGCACUGGCUCGGCCUCAUCAACGACCGCACCUACCGCCGGAAGCUGCCCCAGAUCCUGGCUGGCUUCUACGACGGGGGCCAAUUGGUAGAUUCAGGUGUUCCUUUCACCAAUAUCUCGGGAAGCCGCCAUCUCACAUAUCCCGCCUUCCUGCCCAGCCGCCGGAAGGUCAUGGUCGUGGACUGCUGCAACGGCCUCCUUCUCUUCUCCUCAUACGCUGGUGGCGACCAUGGCGACGAGUUAUACGUUGUGUGCAAUCCCGCCACAGAGGAAUGGGCUGAGUUGCCGCAUCCCGGUCAUUCCGGUGAUGUGUCUAGUAUAAACUUGUGUUUUGAUCCAGCCGUGUCCCCCCAUUUCCAUGUGUUUUUGUUGCCGGCUGUGGAGGUGGAGGACCAACAUGGCUACUGUCUUACCGGAGUGCAUGUCUAUUCAUCUGAAACCGGGAGUUGGGUUCAUAAGGAGAAGAGAUGGAGCGGCAAUAUCGAUGUCGGUUAUGAUCCGUCAUUUAUCUAUCUCAAUGGUUAUCUGCAUUUUUGCGCCAUUGUUGAUGAUUCUGCCCGCCAGCUAGCUGCAGUGGACAAGGAGGGGGGAGCAAGGACUGACUUCCGUGUUCCUGAUGAUCUGAAUGUUUGUUUUAUUCAGCAGUCACAGGGCUGCCUGCAUUAUGCUGGUUUUGACAGAGGUGACAAUGAUGAUGAUGUUGAUCGACUGCUAGUUUAUGUUCUUAAAGACUAUGACAGCAAAGAAUGGAUACUGAAGCAUAGCGUCGAAACUUCACAUGUGUUUGGAGGGCUUCAUGCAGUCAGCCUUUAUGAGAACUUUGAUUGGAUUGCAAUUCAUCCAGAAUGUAACUUGAUCUUCUUCACUCUGGCCUGGGAGGAUAUCACAUUCAUGUGCUAUGAUAUGGAUCGUGGACAAGUUAAAGUGAUCUGCAAUCUUGAAGAAAGCGAGCCACCAUAUUUUCCGUAUGUUCCACUAUAUGAAGAGUUACAAUCUUUGCACAAGUGA